UUCCCAGGCUAGGGGUGGAAUCAGAGCAGUAGUUGCUGGCCUAUGCCAUAGCCAUAGCAACACAGGAUAGAGCUGUGUCUUAAACUUAUACCACAGCUCAUGGCAAUGCUGGAUCCUUAACCCACUGAGCAAGAACAGGUAUCAAACCAGCAACCUCAUGGAUACUAUUUGGGUAUGCUUCCACCAAGCCACAACAGGAACUCCUAAAAUAAUUUUUAAAUUACACACAAAGUUUAGCUUUGCAACCAAAUUCACAUUAAACUUUAGCUGAAGCCAGUUUUAACAUGAGAAAAAAACAUACCCCCUUUUAUUUAUACUCACCCUAAAAUAAGUCAAAAAUGAGAAAGUCAUACUCAAUUUUAAUGAAAAUAGGAGAUGUUCAUAGCCCCAAUUACAACAUGUAAUGCCUGAGGGCCCCAGUUACGACAUAUGCUUACUGAGAGCAGAUGGGUUGAAAUAAAAAAAUAAUAUAACUGAAUGGAGGAAAUUUAACCUUAAGUGGCUGUAGAGGGAGAUGUUGAGAGAAACCACCAAUUUACACCCAGAAACUUUAGAGAAAGCUCAAGAAUCGUAUAUCAUUUACAAGAGAAGUCAGGAGGCUGGUGGGAAGGGUAUGUAAGCCUAAAACGAGGUUGUUGGUUUGAAAGUUACUUUAUGAAGCACUUAGGCCUCAAAUCCUCACCAGCAUCACUACCCUUCCCUUCUCCUGCCUCCAGAAGAGGAAGAAGUUUUCCUGAAGACAAAGGAGUUGAGAGAGAAAAACUUUGUACUUGGAGAUACUGAGCACAGAUAAAGGGAGCUCUGACCUUUUAAAUGAAAACAGAGAGUGAACAGAAAUCUAUAUAGUGAGUAAUGGAACUCCUAGCCCCUUCCUCCAAUUUGGCUCUGGAAGUCCUAUAAGCAGGCUUCUACCCACUAAGCUGGCCACUGAAUGAUCCUUUAAUAUAGAAGCUAAAACACCUAAAUAGAAAGGCCACGGACAGUGAUAACUAGAGGUUUCCAACAGAAAGGCUAGCUUGCCAUCUGAUCACCCCAUAGGAUAUUCCAUCAAUUCACUACCCUUCCUUACACCCAAUAAUAUCCAUAUACAAUCAUGUACACACCUCACAUUCACAGUAUCAGAGCUUGUAAUAAGAAUCUUAGGAAGUGUUUAUUAAACUGAAGUAAAUAUCACCAGAUGUUUUUGGAAAUUUUCAAUCAUGAAAGGAAAUAAAUAAAAUAAAUAAACACAAAAUGCAACAUAGAAACAACAGCAACAGUAUUGAGACUAGAAGAAGAAUCAAAAAAUUAUAAACACUAUAAUGAGACGUGCAAAGAAAACAUAUCCAUAAGAGAAAAAUAAGGUGUAGAAAACACAGGACCAAAAAUUGUCCUAAAAUUUAAAAGUAACAGAGAUAUAAAAAUCACUAGGUGAAUUGGACGAUGACAUGAAGAUCUUCAGAAACUAGAAAACAAAACAUGAAGAUUAUAAUAGGCAAGAAAUUUUGAAGAUCAACUCAGGAGUGCAAAAAGAACCUACUAAAAAUAGUUAUAGUAAGAAAAAAAGAAACUGAAUAAAAAAAGCUUUAGAAUUAAAAUUAAAUAUCCCCUGUCAAGUCUUAUUAUUCUGAAAAUUCAGAACUUAAUUGAUAAAAAAAGAAGAUUCUGAGUGGGUCUUCUGAUAAAAAGAUAUUAGUUCUCAUCCAGAAAAUCUGGAAUAGGAAGUUAUGCUUUUCCAUCAGCCACUAUGAUGUCAAUGUGAAAGAAAGAACAAAGCCAUUUCAGAGCUAGAGUUACAGAGUUUCAAAUAAUUCUUUGUUCCUUUUCUAAAGAAAAAUAGUAUUAGGUCUGCUCCAUCAAAAUGAGGAAGUAUAUCAAAUAUGGAGGAAAACAUAAGUUCCAGACACUAGAAAAACACACUAAGAAGCAGAGGGCAUUCUAAGUGAAUCAGGACCCCAGGACUACAUCGUCUAGUGGGCACAUUCACAGGUCUGUCCUGGUCCUGGAUGGAGGAGGAAGUAAAAGUGGAUAGGAAAGAGUGUCACAUGAUACAUAAACUUGACAACUGGCCAAUCCAGACCAACUGACAAAUUCCAUUGUGUAAAAAUUCUAUUGGCACAUCCCUUAGUAACCGGAGAGUUCAGAUGUAGCCUUAGGAUAAAAAUAAAUAAAUUAAAAACACAAUAUAAGGCAAAUAUUAACUCCAGAAAAAAAUAAAAUUAAAACAUCUGUAAACAAAAAUGAUGAGUACUACAAUUUCAACCACGUAAAACAUUUCUAUAGUCACAUAAAUCAGAAACUUGAAUAUUGAUUAAACCAAAAAUAUAUGAGGAGAUGAGAACCAGAGAUACAUAUGCGAAGGUAGUUAAUAUUUUCAUUUGCCACAAGAAAUUGAUCAGUAAAAUUUACUAGUCAACAGAUAGAACUGUUAUGUCAAUAUAUGUAAUAAAUAGUUUAAAGAAUUAAAAAGUUACUUUCAGUGUGUAGCAAACUUGAGAUGGAGUAUAAAACUGAUUUUUGCUAUUGAAAUUCAAUUCUUAAAUCUCAGCAAUUGUGUUACAUGAUAUAUCACUAUAUUACAUUGUUAAAAAUAAAAAUCAAUUCAGUCCCCAGUAUUUAGCUUGAAAUUUAGCUGUAACUACAAAUAUUUUGAUUUCUGUUAUUUUAUACUUUAAAGCAAUAAUUGGUUAUUUUUAUAUUUGUUUUUAAACAGUUUGAUAAAACAGAUGGUUUUAGGUUGGUAUUUACAAGCAAUCUAUUCCAAAUAACACAUUUGUUGUGGAUAGACUUGAUGCCAAAUAGAUGAAAACCCAAAUUGGAUAUGAUUAUAAUAAUUCUUUAUGAUUUUUGAAAAAUAUACCCAUGUGCUGCACAGUAAUUUUAAUCAAAUAUUAGAUAACACUUUUUGGUGGUGAUGAGCUUUGUUUGGUCUGAACACAGACAAUGUUGAUUCAAAUUCUAGCUCCCUCCCUCUCAUGUGCAAUCAUGGCCAAGUAUACACGGCUUCUUUGUGCCUCACUUCUCUCAUGUUUAAUAAUGCAAAAUUAAUAGACCAGAAUCAUAAUUUUGUAGGAAUUAAAGCAGAUAAUUUGCAGUAAUAAGUUAGAACUGCACUGGGCAGUGGUGAGCUUUAUAAUUAUUAGCCAUGUUAUCAUGCUCAGGACAAGGCGUUUUGAGUCUAGUGAAGAGUAACUUGAGAAAAUCUGAAAAAUCAAUAGACAUUUUAUCCUUCUCACUUUCUUCCUACAUUUUGUCAUUCCAUUUUAUUUCAUUCUUCAACUCAUUCAUAAGUAUGUGUUACCGUUUUUGUUAACAAAACAGUUUUAAAGAGAAACAAGGGUUUUCUUUAGCUUUCAAUCUUUUAAACAACUGUAUGAUAAUAUACUAAUGACCAACACACACAUAUACAAACAUACAUGUAUACACUCACUUUUACAUUAUAAACAAGAUUCAUAGUAACUUAAAAUGAUCCCAAUUAUAGUCUUUUCUCCAUUGUAUAUUCUUGCCUCCUUUGCUAUAGAUUAGUUGACUAUAGGUACAUGGGUUUAAUUCUGGGUUUACUAUCCUCUUCCAAUGAUCUAUAUUUCUAUUUUUGUGCCAGUAUCAUACUGUUUUGAUGACUGCAGCUUUGUAGUAUAGUCUGAAGCCAGGAAGCCUGAUUCCUCCAGCUCCAUUUUUCCCCCCUCUGGGUGUCUUUGGCUACUGUGGGUCUUUUGUGCUUCCAAACAAACUUUAAAAUAUUUUGUUCUAGUUCUAUGAAAAAUGUCCUUGGUAAUUUGUUAGGGAUUACAUUAAAUCUGAAGAUUGCCUUUGGUAGUACAGUCAUUUUUGACAAUAUUGAAUCUUCCAAGCCAAGAGCAUAAUAUAUCUUUCCAUCUGUUUUUGUACUCAGCAGUAAAAAGGAAUGAAAUAAUGGUAUUUGCAGCAAUAUGGAUGGACCUAGAAAUUAUCAUGCUAAGUGAAGUUAGUCAGACAUUGAGAUAUAAAUGACCUAUGCUACCACUUAUAUGUGGAAUCUAAAAAAAGGAUACAAUUGACUUAUUUGCAUAACAGAAACUGACUCACAGACUUUAAAAAACUUAAGGUUACCAAAGGAGACAGAUGUGGAGGGAGGAGGGAUGGGCUGGGGGUUGGGAUGGAAAUGUUGUAAAAUUGGGUUUUGAUGAUGUUUGUACAAAAAUAAAUAUAAUAAAAUUCAUUGAGUUUUUUAAAAAGGCAAUAUGUAGAAUUUAUAUUGUAACAUUUUAAAAUAAAACUAAAAUAAAUACCAAUAUGCCUUUCAAAGUUGUGGAUUCCCUGCCUCUUAUAUAGAAAGAUAUGUUGGAAACAUUUUUUUUCAGAACUUCUAAGAGUAUGAGCUCUAAUGAAAAAUCUAAGUCUGUGUUCUCAUAGAUAUUCAGUUCUUUUAAGCCAGUUCUUCCUGGACUAGACAAUGGAGGUUAUAUCGUAGAUUCUACUUCAAUGAACUGGUGUAGUAAUGGAAUGAGAUAGUUCUUGAAAUGCUGAAAAUAGUGAUCAGACAAUACUAAUUAGUUAUUAAUUUGUAGAUUAGAAUAUAGUAACCACAAAACUAUAGCAAUGAAAACUCUGGGUAGGCAUUUAAUUAUCUUCAUGUACUAUUCAGGUUUAUAUUCAGUCAGGAAAAAAGUUAAAUGCCAUUACAAAUGUUUUGGUACAAUUACUAAAAAUGAUCUUGAAUUUGUACUAUUUCUACUGAGUUCAGCAGAUUUACAUAGAGAUUUCAAUAAUUA
rnacentral:lncRNA from 1 species